GGGUGUGUGAGCAGAAGCUGGAGACCCCUGGGUGGAAUAAGGAAGAUUUUAUCCAAAUGGCAGCUGACUUUCCUGCCCGGGCCCCCUCUUGCUGCGUCUGCCUGUCCUUGCCUUUCUGUCCUUAAUUCUGAGGGAGGAGUGUUUCAGAGGAUCCUGGAGCACAGGUGACCGGCUCUCUCCCACUGAAGCUGCUGGUGAAGACAAACCAGCGACAAGACCCGGUCAGAGGGGCUGGCGCUGCCCCACGCCCCUCUGCCAGCUGACGCCUCCUGCUAAAAACAGCGGGGCCCGGGGGGACUAUGGGCUUUCAGGCUUCCCCCUCCACGCCAGGACAGGUAUUAAAGAGGCCGACGCCCAGCCAGGCCGACUGGACACCAUGCUCUUCACCGAGACGGCCCACUUCGUGGUGAAUUUUCUUCUGUACCGGCGCCCCCGGGCCACUCUCCCGUACCGCCUGGACCAGGAGUUGUGUUUCUGGGGCUGCCGGGGCCCGGCCUUGCCGCCUGUCGCCACCUGCAGCAGCCUGGGCGAUUACUGGCUGAGCCCGCAGCGCCGGCGCCCACCGGGCGCCACCUGGCGCUGGCCCGCUCGCAAUAUGCUGCUACUGCCAGGGGCCACCGGGCUGGCGGAUAUACCCUCGGCGCGCUGGCCCAGCUGCUACGGCGUUCGCCCGCGCCUCACGUGGAAGCACCGGUGGCAGAAUAUUAACUACCAGUAUCUGGGCAAGAGGAAGAGACAUCUAGUUCCUCUGCGCCCGUGAGAGCCGCCAACAGAUAUUUAUGGAGCCCCCCCUCAUUUGGAAAGUGAACUUGAGGCAGAAGAGAAUGGCUGGAGGGGCUGGACUUGUGUAGAGAGUCAAGCAAGAAGGCUGAUGAAGUAGCCCAGGUCCAGGUGAGAAGGGUUGGUUGUGGAGGUGAUGAGCUGAGGGAGCCGGCCUGGUGAUACAGCCCAGGUUCCUGGUUUGGGCAACUGAAUAGUGGGAACCUCGAGCCCAGAAGUGAGGAGUGGGUGGUGGGAGACCCAUCCCUUCCCCCCUGGGGAAUCUGGAAAGUCCCUGGGAGUGGGUGGAUCUAAGUCUGAACAGAAGAGUAGAAAAUCAGCAAGUGAAAAGUGGAGAGAGGCAUUCUAGGCAGAGGGAAGAGCCUAUUCAAAGGCCCUGAGGUGCGAGAAACUUAGCACUCUGAGAAACUAAAGGGCCAGGAGAGGCAAAGAUCAGCAGGCCAAGGACAAAGAGGAAGGAAGCGAGGCUGGGAGCCUGAUCUCUGGGACACAACCUGGAGCCUUGCCACCGUUCCCCACAGGUGGUAGGGCUCCCUCUGCAGACAGAUAGAAGAGCAGGAGAAUGUGAGGAGGGGCUGGGAGGGGAUGGACAGAUGAGGUGUGUGUUGGAGGGGGGUCUGGAGUAUGUCUUUUCUGGGAAAAGUCACUAAAAGGAGGUUCCUGGGGGCCACUUUUGGGGUGUGAGAAGAAGAGAGUCUUCAGAGUUCUGGGGAGGGACAGAUUCCUUUACCAUUUAAGGAACUGACUGAGGUGUUCCUAUCAUGGCUGAGCUGAAACGAAUCUGACUAGCAUUCACAAGGACAUAGGUUCGAUCCCUGGCCUUGCUCAGUGGGUUAAGGAUCCGGUGUUGCCUUGAGCUGUGGUGUCGGUGGCAGACGGCUCAGAUCUGAUGUUGCUGGUGCUGUGGCUGUGUCAUAGGCCAGCGUCUACAGCUCCGAUUUGAUCCCUAGCCUG
rnacentral:lncRNA from 1 species